UUGAAUAGUAUAUUCCAACAG
rnacentral:piRNA from 1 species